rnacentral:rRNA from 2 species
AUGCUGGAGGUAUCAGAAGUGCGAAUGCUGACAUAAGUAACGAUAAAGCGGGUGAAAAGCCCGCUCGCCGGAAGACCAAGGGUUCCUGUCCAACGUUAAUCGGGGCAGGGUGAGUCGACCCCUAAGGCGAGGCCGAAAGGCGUAGUCGAUGGGAAACAGGUUAAUAUUCCUGUACUUGGUGUUACUGCGAAGGGGGGACGGAGAAGGCUAUGUUGGCCGGGCGACGGUUGUCCCGGUUUAAGCGUGUAGGCUGGUUUUCCAGGCAAAUCCGGAAAAUCAAGGCUGAGGCGUGAUGACGAGGCACUACGGUGCUGAAGCAACAAAUGCCCUGCUUCCAGGAAAAGCCUCUAAGCAUCAGGUAACAUCAAAUCGUACCCCAAACCGACACAGGUGGUCAGGUAGAGAAUACCAAGGCGCUUGAGAGAACUCGGGUGAAGGAACUAGGCAAAAUGGUGCCGUAACUUCGGGAGAAGGCACGCUGAUAUGUAGGUGAAGUCCCUCGCGGAUGGAGCUGAAAUCAGUCGAAGAUACCAGCUGGCUGCAACUGUUUAUUAAAAACACAGCACUGUGCAAACACGAAAGUGGACGUAUACGGUGUGACGCCUGCCCGGUGCCGGAAGGUUAAUUGAUGGGGUCAGCGCAAGCGAAGCUCUUGAUCGAAGCCCCGGUAAACGGCGGCCGUAACUAUAACGGUCCUAAGGUAGCGAAAUUCCUUGUCGGGUAAGUUCCGACCUGCACGAAUGGCGUAAUGAUGGCCAGGCUGUCUCCACCCGAGACUCAGUGAAAUUGAACUCGCUGUGAAGAUGCAGUGUAUCCGCGGCAAGACGGAAAGACCCCGUGAACCUUUACUAUAGCUUGACACUGAACAUUGAGCCUUGAUGUGUAGGAUAGGUGGGAGGCUUAGAAGUGUGGACGCCAGUCUGCAUGGAGCCGACCUUGAAAUACCACCCUUUAAUGUUUGAUGUUCUAACGUUGACCCGUAAUCCGGGUUGCGGACAGUGUCUGGUGGGUAGUUUGACUGGGGCGGUCUCCUCCUAAAGAGUAACGGAGGAGCACGAAGGUUGGCUAAUCCUGGUCGGACAUCAGGAGGUUAGUGCAAUGGCAUAAGCCAGCUUGACUGCGAGCGUGACGGCGCGAGCAGGUGCGAAAGCAGGUCAUAGUGAUCCGGUGGUUCUGAAUGGAAGGGCCAUCGCUCAACGGAUAAAAGGUACUCCGGGGAUAACAGGCUGAUACCGCCCAAGAGUUCAUAUCGACGGCGGUGUUUGGCACCUCGAUGUCGGCUCAUCACAUCCUGGGGCUGAAGUAGGUCCCAAGGGUAUGGCUGUUCGCCAUUUAAAGUGGUACGCGAGCUGGGUUUAGAACGUCGUGAGACAGUUCGGUCCCUAUCUGCCGUGGGCGCUGGAGAACUGAGGGGGGCUGCUCCUAGUACGAGAGGACCGGAGUGGACGCAUCACUGGUGUUCGGGUUGUCAUGCCAAUGGCACUGCCCGGUAGCUAAAUGCGGAAGAGAUAAGUGCUGAAAGCAUCUAAGCACGAAACUUGCCCCGAGAUGAGUUCUCCCUGACCCUUUAAGGGUCCUGAAGGAACGUUGAAGACGACGACGUUGAUAGGCCGGGUGUGUAAGCGCAGCGAUGCGUUGAGCUAACCGGUACUAAUGAACCGUGAGGCUUAACCUU